AAUGAACGUUGGCGGUGUGGAUUAGGCAUGCAAGUCGAGCGCGAAAUGUAGCAAUACAUGGAGAGCGGCGAAAGGGAGAGUAAUACAUAGGUACCUACCCCCGGGUCUGGGAUAGCGGCGGGAAACUGCCGGUAAUAACAGAUAAUGUCUCCGGACCAAAGGUGUGAUUCCACCUGGGGAGGGGCCUGUGGCCUAUCAGCUAGUUGGCGAGGUAACGGCUCACCAAGGCUAAAACGGGUAUGGGGCGUGAGAGCGUGCCCCCACUCACUGGGACUGAGAACUGCCCAGACACCUACGGGUGGCUGCAGUCGAGAAUCUUCGGCAAUGGGCGAAAGCCUGACCGUGCGACACCGCGUGCGGGAUGAAGGCCUUCGGGUUGUAAACCGCUGUCGUAGGGGAGGAAGGGCCUGCGAAGAGCAGGACUUGACCGAUCCUAGGAGGAAGGGCCGGCUAAUCUCGUGCCAGCAGCCGCCGUAAUAC
rnacentral:rRNA from 1 species